rnacentral:rRNA from 1 species
AGAGAGAGACAUGCGCGCAUAUCAAUAAGCGGAGGAAAAGAAACUAACAAGGAUUCCCCUAGUAACGGCGAGUGAAGCGGGAAGAGCUCAAAUUUGAAAUCUUAAAGGGUUUCCCUUUACGAAUUGUAGUUUAAAGAAGUGUUUUCUGUUGAGGUUUUGGUAAAAGUUCUUUGGAAUAGGACAUCAUAGAGGGUGAGAAUCCCGUAUUUGACCAUUAUUUCCAGCUUUGUGAUACACUUUCAAAGAGUCGGAUUGUUUGGGAAUGCAGUCCAAAAUGGGUGGUAAAUUUCAUCUAAAGCUAAAUACUUGGCGAGAGGACCGAUAGCGAACAAGUACCGUGAGGGAAAGAUGAAAAGAACUUUGAAAAGAGAGUUAAACAGUACGUGAAAUUGUCAAAAGGGAAGCGUUUGACACCAGUGUUGUUUUCUCGAAAAUCAAUUAAAAAAGGCAGGAUUUUGUGUUGUAUUGACUUUAUCAGCUUUCUGCACUCUUUUCUUGUCUUUUUUAAUGCACUUUUCGUUUAACAAGUCAACAUCAAUUUCUUUUGUUGUAAAAGGGUCAUUGGAAGGUGGCUCUCUUUUCGGAGAAAGUGUUUAUAGCCUUUGGCCUCUGCAAUCGGAGAGAUUGAGGUCUGCAGCGUAGAUCCUUCGGGGCUAGAUACAUUUGUGCUAAGUUAUAGCCUUUCAUAGACAACUUGUUGACUAUGAUCAGUCAUAGUAGCUUACUCGCUUAUGCUAUUUUACCUACGCUUAGGAUGUUGAUGUGAUACUGCGAGCA